AGGAUUCCCCGAGUAACUGCGAGUGAAAAGGGAAAAGCCCAGCGCCGAAGCCACCGUCCGGUUCUAAGAGCGGACGGAAGGGCAAUGUGGCGUUAAGGAGGAGCCGCCUUGACCUGGCACUUCGUUGACCGGACCGCGGGAGCCCGAGUCCCCCUGACUGGGGCCACGGCCCACGGCGGGUGCAAGGCCCCUUCGGCUUCGCCCAGGCGGACCGGAGGUUGGUGGCUCUUUACUCCUAAGAGUCGGGUUGCUCGAGAGUGCAGCCCUAAGCGGGUGGUAAACUCCAUCUAAGGCUAAAUAUAACCGCGAGACCGAUAGCGAACAAGUACCGUGAGGGAAAGUUGCAAAGAACUUUGAAGAGAGAGUUCAAGAGUACGUGAAACCGCUCAGAGGUAAACGGAUGGGCCCUCGAAGCUCGAACGGGGGGAUUCAGCCCGUCGGC
rnacentral:rRNA from 1 species